GAGUAUGCCUGCGUCCAGAAGCGCAAAGGGACCCAUCGCAGUCCCCAAGAGCCACAGCAGGGAAAGGCUCAGGUGACCCCGGCCGCUCAGGUGGACGUCCUGUACUCCAGGGUCUGCAAGCCUAAAAGGAGGGACCCAGGACCCACCACAGACCCGCCGGACCCCAAGGGCCAGGGAGCGAUUCUGGCCCUGGCGAGUGACCUGGCCUACCAGACCCUCCCGCUCAGGGCUCUGGAUGUGGACAGCGGCCCCCUGGAAAACGUGUAUGAGAGCAUCCGGGAGCUGGGGGACCCUGCUGGCAGGAGCAGCACGUGCGGGGCUCGGACGCCCCCUGCUUCCAGCUGCCCCAGCCUAGGGAGGGGCUGGAGACCCCUGCCUGCCCUGAACACUCAAGGACCUGUGCUCCUUCCUCCAGAGGCUCUUCCGUAGGCGGCGGCU
rnacentral:sRNA from 1 species